UUAAGAAAUACUUUUUUAUUUGUAAUAGUAGUAGUUGCUUUGUGGAGGAAGGUAAAUGAAAGGAUAUUUCAUUCCCUUUCUUAAACCACGCACAUAAGGACAGUAUCAGAAUUAGCCACUGGUACAGAAACAGGGCAGUGUAUAGUUACUUUAUACACAGCUGAACCAAACAACUUGCUUUAAGAGCAGUCAGUGUGGAUCACAGCAGUUAUUCAUUUACAUUAAUCAGCUCUCGUUCUCUGCAAUUGCUGUGGGUGAGGUGGCACUCUACUGCAGUCCCUGUACUUUUAUUCUAUGUUAAAGUUUGGUUUUCCAUCCUCACUGUGUUCCAUUUACAUCAUUCUGGAAUGCGAAGUGGUGCUGGCAUGAAAUUUCUCCUAAGAAACUGGAUUUACUGUGAAGAGUACAAGAUGAUUUGGUCAAGUCCCAGAAGUUUUUUUUCUAUUCGUUUACAAGUAUAUCAUCAGUCACUCCAAAAUCCUGGUAAAGCAACAAGCCUUGACGAUAACUCAGCCUUGCCAUCAGCUCCUAACAAAGAAGGUACGGUAUUCAGCAUUUGCAAAUUUGCAAAGCACACUGGAGUUAACACAUCCUGAUUUAUUCGUUUUGGCCAUUAGCAGUGAAACAAAAUAACAUGGAAAUGCUUUUGGUACCCUGCA
rnacentral:lncRNA from 1 species